GUCAAUAUCGUCCCCUUCGACAGUGGUUUACGACCCGAAGGCCUUCAUCCCACACGCGGCGUCGCUCCGUCAGGCUUUCGCCCAUUGCGGAAAAUUCCUCACUGCUGCCUCCCGUAGGAGUCUGGACCGUGUCUCAGUUCCAGUGUGGCUGGUCGCUCUCUCAAGCCAGCUACCCAUCGGAGUCUUGGUAGGCCAUUACCCCACCAACUAACUAAUGGGACGCAGUCCCCUCUUUGUGCGGAUUGCUCCUUUCAUCGCCUAGGGAUGCCCCAGAGCGAUCGUAUGCGGUAUUAGCUAACCUUUCGACUAGUUAUCCCCCUCACAAAGGCAGGUUGACCACGUGUUACUCACCCGUCUGCCACUAGGUAUUGCUACCUCGUUCGACUUGCAUGUGUUAGGCACGCCGCCAGCGUUAGUCGUGAACCAGGAUCAAACUCUGUCGACAUCGAUGGAAGCCGAAUUCCAGCACA
rnacentral:rRNA from 1 species